GUCAGCAUGACCUUUAUAUCCAGGGCUACACACACGCUACAAUGGUCUGUACAAUGGGUAGCCAAGCCGCGAGGCGGAGCCAAUCCUGAAAGCAGGCCUCAGUUCAGAUUGCAGUCUGCAACUCGACUGCAUGAAGCCGGAGUUGCUAGUAACCGCAGGUCAGCAAUACUGCGGUGAAUACGUUCCCGGGUCUU
rnacentral:rRNA from 1 species